rnacentral:rRNA from 1 species
ACUUAUAGAUGGAUCCGCGCCGCAUUAGCUAGUUGGUAAGGUAACGGCUUACCAAGGCAACGAUGCGUAGCCGACCUGAGAGGGUGAUCGGCCACACUGGAACUGAGACACGGUCCAGACUCCUACGGGAGGCAGCAGUAGGGAAUCUUCCGCAAUGGGCGAAAGCCUGACGGAGCAACGCCGCGUGAGUGAUGAAGGUCUUCGGAUCGUAAAACUCUGUUAUUAGGGAAGAACAAAUGUUAUUGACGGUACCUAAUCAGAAAGCCACGGCUAACUACGUGCCAGCAGCCGCGGUAAUACGUAGGUGGCAAGCGUUAUCCGGAAUUAUUGGGCGUAAAGCGCGCGUAGGCGGUUUUUUAAGUCUGAUGUGAAAGCCCACGGCUCAACCGUGGAGGGUCAUUGGAAACUGGAAAACUUGAGUGCAGAAGAGGAAAGUGGAAUUCAUGUAGCGGUGAAAUGCGCAGAGAU